CCUACGGGUGGCAGCAGUGGGGAAUAUUGCGCAAUGGGCGAAAGCCUGACGCAGCAACGCCGCGUGAGGGAUGGAGGUCUUCGGAUUGUAAACCUCUGUCGGCAGGGACGAAGAAUGACGGUACCUCGUAAGAAAGCCCCGGCUAACUACGUGCCAGCAGCCGCGGUAAUACGUAGGGGGCAAGCGUUGUCCGGAAUGACUGGGCGUAAAGGGAGCGUAGGCGGCGCAUCAAGUUAGAUGUGAAAUCCCGCGGCUUAACCGCGGCACUGCAUCUAGAACUGGGUAGCUGGAGUGCAGGAGGGGCGGGCGGAAUUCCUGGUGUAGCGGUGGAAUGCGUAGAUAUCAGGAGGAACACCAGAGGCGAAGGCGACUCACUGGACUGUAACUGACGCUGAGGCUCGAAAGCGUGGGGAGCAAACAGGAUUAGAUACCCUUGUAGUC
rnacentral:rRNA from 1 species